rnacentral:rRNA from 1 species
AACGAAGGCUGGCGGCAUGCCUAACACAUGCAAGUCGAACGAGACCUUCGGGUCUAGUGGCGCACGGGUGCGUAACGCGUGGGAACCUGCCCUUAGGUUCGGAAUAACUCCCCGAAAGGGGUGCUAAUACCGGAUAAUGUCUUCGGACCAAAGAUUUAUCGCCUUUGGAUGGGCCCGCGUUGGAUUAGCUAGUUGGUAGGGUAAAAGCCUACCAAGGCGACGAUCCAUAGCUGGUCUGAGAGGAUGAUCAGCCACACUGGGACUGAGACACGGCCCAGACUCCUACGGGAAGCAGCAGUGGGGAAUAUUGGACAAUGGGCGAAAGCCUGAUCCAGCAAUGCCGCGUGAGUGAUGAAGGCCUUAGGGUUGUAAAGCUCUUUUACCCGGGAUGAUAAUGACAGUACCGGGAGAAUAAGCUCCGGCUAACUCCGUG